AUGGAUUUCAGGUCCUCUGAGACCCAAGAACCGACGGGGAGGGAGCUGGGAAAGCCUGGCGAAGAUCAGAGUGUGUUCGGCAGCUGUCAAGUUUUGCAGGAAAGCCAGGAGAGGCGAGCUGAGCAAUUCAGACAAGUGGAAGUCCCCGCACCCCGGAGUUUGCGCUGUGGAUUACUGCACACUGCUAUUUUAAAAAAAUCAACAAUAAAUGUUUCUUUCAGUCUUGUGUACAAUUCAUUAUUUCUUUCAAUAGUUUUACUCUACCCUCUUCCGAAGUUUUAAAGAGAAUACAGCAUUUGCUCUUCCUGAUUCUGAAUAAAUUCAUUCUAUGUCAGUGUGUUAUUCUCCCACCAAGCCAGCUUGGCUUGUCCACCUUUCUUAUUGCUUCAAAUAGAGCCAGGCAGAUGCUUCCAUAACCCCCCCAGUGUUUUUAUGUGUACAGAAGAGCCUUUGGUUGCAAUCUGGCAUCUGACACGAGCAGAGUAGAGCAGCCUCUCAAAAGCCACCACUUUUAACCUCCUCUUGCCUAGUGGGGAAGCAUCACAUCGUGCGUUGCACACGAGGAAUUAGACCUAUUCCUUCUGCAACCUGGGUACAAUAACCAUCAUCCUUCAACACUGGCCUUCUUGUCUGGAACUCAUGAGAUUGAUUCACCCAAACAUUUGGAGGGCACCAGGUUGAGAAAAGGGGUCUUAAGGCAUCCAGCAGCCCACUCUUCCUACAGGCUCCUAGCAUGUAGCGGCUCAUAAGUUAAAGGUAAAGGUACCCCUGACCAUUAGGUCCAGUCGCAGACAACUCUGGGGUUGCGGUGCUCAUCUCGCUUUACUGGCCGAGAGAGCUGGCGUACAGCUUCCGGGUCAUGUGGCCAGUAUGACUAAGCCGCUUCUGGCGAACCAGAGCAGCGCACGGAAACGCCGCUUACCUUCCCGCCGGAGCGGUACCUAUUUAUCUACUUGCACUUUGACGUGCUUUCGAAAUGCUAGGUUGGCAGGAACAGGGACCGAGCAACGGGAGCUCACCCUGUUGCGGGGAUUCGAACCACUGACUUUCUGAUCGGCAAAGCCCUAGGCUCUGUGGUUUAGACCACAGCGGUAGCGGUUCAUAGGAGAAGCAAAACCACAUCUCAAGGCUGCGCAAAAAAGAAGCUGUUGGAGACUCUCGAGCAAGGCUUGAAUGUGCCUCCACUUAGAGGGAUGAGAUGCAGCCUGCUCAGGCCAGCACCUGAGUGAGGAGGUGCCUCUGGUGGAGAAAGGGUGGCUUCUGCUUUGGGUUCUUCUAAGAGGCCACAGCUUCUCCUACCUGUCCCUCCCCCUACUGCUUCCAUUUGUCCUACAGUCAUGAGCAGGACUCUACAUUUUACCCACCUACAUUAGAGUAGGAUGGGAGCAGACAGAUAGACGAACCAACAGAGGGAGAAGCUGUGGCAACGUCAUUUCUCAUUUUCUAUGGGUCUUCGAGGGCGCUCACACGUCCUCCAGAUUGUCACCCGGCACUGCUAAAUGAGAGGAUCUGAGUGCAAAGGUUAGAGAAGGUUGAUGGUGCCACAUGUGAACUCAGUAAACACUACACUUUUCUGGGACCGUGGUCUUUUGUCCACAUGGUCAGUCCUGCUUGGGAACAACUUUGUUACGUGUGAAAACACAGCAACAAGCCAGUGACUGUGCUGCCAGGCUAGAUCAUCUCUCCCUUGCACUGGAUAAACUGCUUUUCAACUAAAGUCACAAACACAACCUGGAAAGAUGCAGGAAUUCAGUUGGUGAGCAGUUUACGGAGUGCAAAAAUCCAUUCUUAUGUCCAUUUGGUACUGAUACAGAAGUACAAAAAAUGUGCCCGCUAUUUCCGUUGAGGGCACACACGUGAAACCUCAACCUUCCCUUAUCAAACAUGCCAAAGCCUGGAGCCGAUCCUUUCCUAGUGUAUUUUGGGAUGGGAGGAGUGUAUUUUGUGUACAUAGGGAUGAAUGGCAUUUCUUCCAUCGAUGCAUCUUGUAACACAGAGAUGGAAUGCAUUUUGUGCCCACCUAUCUAUACUUAAGUACAAAAUGUAAUGUGAGAAAACAUCUUAAGACUGCCAGAGGGACCAGCCAGAGCCAGUGGUAGGGAUGACACUGGUCCCACAGACACUCUGAUCAACAGUGUUCAGGUUCACAGAGGAAUUACUGAGGAGUCUAUACAGGCUUUGGUUGGGCAUGUACCAAAGGCUGAAAUUUGCACAGGUCCCUUCCAGAAAACAAACAGGUCACAGAAAAGCUGCAUUUCUCAUGCAGAAAGGAUUGGGUUUUUUCCAUCAGCUCAAAUCUUUUUUUGGGCAGAGGCAGGGAGAAAAGCACUCUUUAGCUCGGAUGUCUGCUUAUUUGGCUCUUUGCGAUUUCCAAGCCUGGUCCAUUUAAUGUCCCUGAGGUAAUGAUUCGGUCACUCGUGGAUCCAAAAACACAGAGGACCUCUAGUAAGACAGAGGAGUCAAGGUAACCAAGGCUGAACUCAGAUUAUGAAAGGCA
ensembl:lncRNA